rnacentral:lncRNA from 1 species
ACCUCGACUUUCAAUAACAGUGGCCGCUAGGUGAUGCCCGAAGACAACCGAUGCCUGCAAAUGUCAGUCAGCACGGAAAAGAAUGUAUGUAUGGUCCACGCUGCAGGAUGCUCAUUUCAACAACCAGACAGUGGAUGUGACAGGAGAAGUGUCAAGGCCAGGAGUUUGAGACCAGCGUGAGCAACCGAGCAAUACAAGCCCUAUACUAAAAACGGAAAGAACCGACACAUGAGAAAUAUGACCAGAGCAUACUGUGCCCAAGAGUGUCAUCACAGCACUCUGGGAGGCCGAUGUGGGAGGAUCGCUGGAGC